rnacentral:lncRNA from 1 species
AUGGCGACGGCUCUGUCGGGUCUGGCUGUCCGGCUGUCGCGCUCGGCCGCUGCCCGCUCCUAUGGGGUCUUCUGCAAGGGGCUGACCCGCACGCUGCUCAUCUUCUUUGACUUGGCUUGGCGGCUGCGCAUCAACUUUCCUUACCUCUACAUCCUGGCUUCCACGAUGCUCAACGUGCGCCUGCAGGUUCACAUUGAGAUCCACUGA